UCGCAGUACUGAACCCCCUGGACUUUAGUAAACACCAGUGUGGAAACGCUGCUCAGAUCUUUCCUCUUAUCAGUUUAUAAUAUCUUACUGAAGUGAUAUCAUUAAUGCCGUUAUUUCCGCAUCAUCACCACCUUCAGCGGUCAUGUCCUCCGGUUCUCUCCUGCUGGUUCUGCUGGUUCUGGGCUGCCUUCAGUCCUUCACAGCGACCCAGGUGGCAAACGGACCAGAACGAUGCUGUUUCAAAUUCCAGAUAUAUAAAAUCCCUCUAUGAGUGAUUAAGGGGUAUGAAGAAACUCCGGCUCACUGUACAAAAGCUGGAAUUGUGCCCUGGACUUCUGUGGGUGAAGAAUCACAUGAAGAAAAUUGACCUGCACUUUUUUGCAGAGCCGAUCCAGUGGUUUUAAUGUUAUGGAUGAUCUGUGUAUCUGCUAAUAAUGUUAGAUAAUAACGUCACGACACAUCUGUGUUAUGACUACUGUCGUGUCAUGUCAGAAUGCUGCAGCGCGCCUCGUCUUCAACCAGUCCAAGAGAACCCAUGUCACACCCCUCUUCAUCUCCCUCCACUGGCUUCCUGUAGCCACCCGCAUCAAGUUCAAGGCCUUGAUGAUCACCUACAAGACCUUGUCAGGAACAGCGCCUCCUACCUCAACUCUCUCCUGAAGGCUUACGUUCCCUCUCGCAAUCUGCGAUCGUUUUGCGACCGACGUUUAGCAGUUCCAACUCAGCGUGGCGCAAGGUCCCUUUCCAAAACCUUCACACUAACUGUUCCUCAGUGGUGGAAUGCACUUCCAAUCUCAAUCCGGACCGCAGAAUCUCUCACCAUCUUCAAAAAACAACUAAAGACCCACCUCUUCCAUGAACACCUAACAAACUCAUAAUAAAAAAAAAAAUGCACUUACACCUCUACUCUGCACUUUGUUUCUUCUGGAAUUCAAUUAAUAGAUCUCGUAUGGUAGCACUUCUUGUAUUGUUCUCUGCUUGAUGUAUCGCUUUGCUUGUAUCUUUCUCAUUUGUAAGUCGCUUUGGAUAAAAGCAUCUGCUAAGUGAAUAAAUGUGUCUGUUAUGUUCUACACCCACCAUCCACCCAUUAUUUACAUUCAAAUUUGAGUUAUAGCUAAUUUGUUCU